GUGCCACUUACCUGCCAGGCGCUCCGCGGUCCCCCCGGAGGCUCCGUCCGACAUGGCCGAGCGAGAGGAGCCGAUGUCCGGGUGAAGGCUUUACGGCGCACCGCGGCGCAUGUGCAGCAGCCGAGCGAGAGAGGAGAGGCGGAGUGGGUGUGGGGUGAGGUCGAGAGGGCCAGAAACGUGAGGGACGGGACAGCCCUGUAAACUAGCGCCUCCAGCUCGUCGUAGAAAUCGCUUGAGGAAAGAGGUCUCACUCUGCCCUUGUCUGCAGUCAAAUAUUAUGCUUCGUGUUUUUGAAUACAUUGCUGACUUGAUCCCUUCCAUCUAUCUCCCCCCCCCCCUUUUAUACACCCUUGUUUCCUUUCUUCCAGUAUUCCAACCUUCAUUCUAUCCUUCCACUUCUCUCCUUUACUUCAUUCAUACCAAUUUCCUUCUGUCCACCCUACUUUCCUUUUAAACCAUCCUUCCUUACACCUUCACUCCAAUCUUCCAUCCUUCCUCCCAUCCUUCUUUCCUUCCUUUCUUUCAUCGUUUUCUUCUCCAUUGUUUCCUUCCUUAAUUUACAAAGCCUGUACCUUCUAUUGACCUACCAUGUAUGAAGUAAUUGUGAGUGCAACCAUAAACCACAAAGUCAAAUGUACCACAUGCACACUGUAUGUGAGAAUACGCAUUUAUCCAGGAUGACAAUAAAAACAUGCUUUAUCACAUUAUUAUGAUAGGCAUAUCGGGAAGACAUGGAAUAUCUGUUGCCAUUGUGUUUAUGUUUGAAACCUGUGAGCGGGUGAGCUGGGAAAAACAAUACAUCAGAGUGAUUGGUUGUCUCCUGCAGAGACGACCUCGGUCCCUCACCUACAUCGUGUAAUUUGAGACCUUUGCACGAGACUUUACAUAAGGGCGCCGGCUGCACGUGCCAGGCGCACACGUGUUGACCUAUAUAUUAUAUAACUUGUAUAACUUUGACUCGUUAACCCAUUUAAAGGGAAGGGCGUCUGGAGAAAGUACAGCGGCCAGUGGAAAGCACAUCCUUUCGUUAUCAUGUCGUCGUUUGAGUUCAAUGUAUAGCUGACGAGAAUCCACUUAAAAGAAAUUUCGACUAGGUUUGGCAGGGAUGUGUGUUGAGCGAGUUCACCUUAAUGUAGGUCACACUGCAGAAUGUGAUUUGAUGUACCCCCUCAGAAGGAAACGCACACCAUAAAACAAUAUUUUUGCCACUACUCACCACGGAAGAAUGCCACUAUGUCGCCAAAAGUCCGAUUUCCGAUUCAAUUCGGGGCUCUCCAGGCACAUAUGACGCAAAUACUCAUUUUCAUGCACUUACCGGUCACAAUAUUAGGUACACCAUCCA